AGCUCAGUGGUAGAGCACAUGCUUAGCAUGCAUGAAGUCCUGGGUUCAAUCCCCCG
rnacentral:tRNA from 1 species